rnacentral:piRNA from 1 species
UAUCAUGUUCUGAGACUGUAGGUGUGAGC